ensembl:lncRNA LOC102555670 uncharacterized LOC102555670
AGCUGGACAGGGCUUCCCACAUGGGGCUGCGAUGAACCACUAGACUCUGGGUCUCAAUCCGCGGCUGGCUCUGGCUCCUGCUCAAUCCUAGCUAUAGCACCCAAGGGUCAUGACUCUCGGGUUUCAGAGCAUAUCAGCAUCACUAGGGAAUCGGUGAGAACCUGAGAUUUCCUCAAUAAUUCAUACCCCUGUUCCUCCUCCUGCAGCGUCACGUGGCCCUGAACAAAGGCGGUGAACUUUAUCCGGCAGUAACCUAAUCUCCUGGAUCGUUUACCAACAACACUCAGAGUGAUCUCCGGGAUUACCUUGGGCUUUGGCCAGCACCAGGGAGACUGGGCUGAACAGAAGUUUCUGGCUCUGUGUGGACCACGUUCUCUCCUAGCGUCAGAGCUUUCCUCAGAGUUCUGUGAGAGCAGUGUUAACUGUGGACAGUCCUGGACUCACAUCACCCCAGUUUGUUGCCUCAGAAGACAAAACUCUCCCAGGAUCUUGAGAUGGAUCGAGAUUGAGAGUCCUGAGUUCAGAGCUCUUAAUGGAACGGGCAAAGUUCUAAGGAGAGAAGCUAUGGAGAUGGGGAAAGGAAACUCAGGUGGAGCAGAGAUGGAGGCACAAGCCAAGGCCUCUGUGAGUCACCAGAAGCAGGGGCAGGACCAGCCUUGGUAACGCUGUGAUUUAGGACAGCCGACAAUCCCAACAUGUGUUAAUUCUAAUACAUUUCUGUCUUUUGAAGCAGUCCUGUUAGGAUCAGUUGGUUAUGGCGGCCCCAGGAGAUGAAUGUAUGAGGACCCAGGUUCAAUUUCCAGCACAAUGUGGCAACUUAAAAGUGUAACUCCAGUCCCAGAGGAGCUGAUGCUUCCUUCUGACCUCAGGGGCCACCGGCAUGAAAGCGUAGGCAAAAGCACCCAUGCACAUAAAAGAGCUCACACCAAAUGAGAGGACUGGAGAGAGGGCCAAGUCUUUUUAAGCCCAAGAAGGAACCUGAAGGUUUCUCUCCCCGGCCAUGAAUGCUGCGCUCCAGGCACUGCUGCAGCACGGACUGCCGAGGAGCUCCGCACAGCAGACACCACCCCCACUUAAGAAUUAAAAGCAUUGUUUUUGAAAAAAAGGAAAUCAACUUUAUUUUCUCUACAUUAAAAAAAAAUAGAACCAGCUAUUAAUUUUUGCUGAGAAAAUGCUUCUUUUGGUGUUUACAACAUAUAAAUUUCUGAAAAGGUGAUCUGGUAAAAUCAUCCCCGAUGCAUUCAGAAGCCAGAUCCACAGGUGACCAGCCCUUUACAACAUCGAAUUACAGUUGUCACA